ensembl:snRNA LOC120100221 U7 small nuclear RNA
AGCUGUUAAAGCUCUUUGAGAAUGUUUUCUAACAGGUUUUCUGACUUUGUUUGGAAAACACCAAA